rnacentral:rRNA from 1 species
AUUGAACGCUGGCGGCAGGCCUAACACAUGCAAGUCGAACGAGUGGCGGACGUGUGAGUAAUGUCUGGGAAACUGCCCGAUGGAGGGGGAUAACUACUGGAAACUGUAGCUAAUACCGCAUACCAUCGGAUGUGCCCAGAUGGGAUUAGCUAGUUGGGGGGGUAAAGGCUCACCUAGGCGACGAUCCCUACCUGGUCUGAGAGGAUGACCAGUCACACUGGAACUGAGACACGGUCCAGACUCCUACGGGAGGCAGCAGUGGGGAAUAUUGCACAAUGGGCGAAAGCCUGAUGCAGCCAUGCCGCGUGUAUGAAGAAGGCCUUCGGGUUGUAAAGUACUUUCAGUGGGGAGGCGUUACUAGCAGAAGAAGCACCGGCUAACUCCGUGCCAGCAGCCGCGGUAAUUC